rnacentral:rRNA from 1 species
GACGAACGCUGGCGGCGUGCCUAAUACAUGCGAGUAGAACGCACAGUUUAUACCGUAGCUUGCUACACCAUAGACUGUGAGUUGCGAACGGGUGAGUAACGCGUAGGUAACCUGCCUGGUAGCGGGGGAUAACUAUUGGAAACGAUAGCUAAUACCGCAUAAUAUUGAUUAUUGCAUGAUAAUUAAUUGAAAGGUGCAAUUGCACCACUACCAGAUGGACCUGCGUUGUAUUAGCUAGUAGGUGAGGUAACGGCUCACCUAGGCGACGAUACAUAGCCGACCUGAGAGGGGGAUCGGCCCAACUGGGACUGAGACACGGCCCAGACCCCCACGGGAGGCAGCAGUAGGGAAUCUUCGGCAAUGGACGAAAGUCUGACCGAGCAACGCCGCGUGAGUGAAGAAGGUUUUCGGAUCGUAAAGCUCUGUUGUAAGAGAAGAACGGGUGUGAGAGUGGAAAGUUCACACUGUGACGGUAUCUUACCAGAAAGGGACGGCUAACUACGUG